AACGAACGCUGGCGGCAGGCCUAACACAUGCAAGUCGAACGCUGUAGCAAUACAGAGUGGCAGACGGGUGAGUAACGCGUGGGAACGUGCCUUUCGGUUCGGAAUAACUCAGGGAAACUUGAGCUAAUACCGGAUACGCCCUUCGGGGGAAAGAUUUAUUGCCGAAAGAUCGGCCCGCGUCCGAUUAGCUAGUUGGUGUGGUAAUGGCGCACCAAGGCGACGAUCGGUAGCUGGUCUGAGAGGAUGAUCAGCCACACUGGGACUGAGACACGGCCCAGACUCCUACGGGAGGCAGCAGUGGGGAAUAUUGGACAAUGGGCGCAAGCCUGAUCCAGCCAUGCCGCGUGAGUGAUGAAGGCCCUAGGGUUGUAAAGCUCUUUCGCCAGGGACGAUAAUGACGGUACCUGGAUAAGAAGCCCCGGCUAACUUCGUGCCAGCAGCCGCCGCGGUAA
rnacentral:rRNA from 1 species